rnacentral:rRNA from 1 species
UCCCCAAGGUGAACAGCCUCUGCUCAGUAUGAACAAUGCAGGUAAGGGAAGUCGGCAAAUUGGACCCGUAACUUUGGGAAAAGGGUUGGCUCUAGUGCUGCGUGGGAGYAGUUGUCGGCUGUUGGCGCUGUGGAGAUGCGUGCACGGCGCGUCCCGCAAGGGAUGUGCUGCGCUGCGUUUCYGGCGGUGCUGCUCCGACGACGCCCACAGCAUGCAGCAGACUAGAACUGCAACGGGCAAAGGGAAUCCGACUGUUUAAUUAAAACAAAGCAUUGCGAGGGCCGUGGCCGGUGAUAACGCAAU